GACGAACGCUAGCGGCGUGCUUUAAGCAUGCAAGUAGAACGAGACUAGUAGUAAUACUAGUCGAGUGGCGAACGGGUGAGUAAUACAUCGGAACGUGCCUAGUAGUGGGGGAUAACUACUCGAAAGAGUGGCUAAUACCGCAUGAGAUCUACGGAUGAAAGCAGGGGAUCGCAAGAACUUGUGCUACUAGAGCGGCCGAUGGCAGAUUAGGUAGUUGGUGGGAUAAAAGCUUACCAAGCCGACGAUCUGUAGCUGGUCUGAGAGGACGAUCAGCCACACUGGGACUGAGACACGGCCCAGACUCCUACGGGAGGCAGCAGUGGGGAAUUUUGGACAAUGGGCGAAAGCCUGAUCCAGCAAUGCCGCGUGCAGGAUGAAGGCCUUCGGGUUGUAAACUGCUUUUGUACGGAACGAAAAGCCCCGGGUUAAUACCCUGGGGUCAUGACGGUACCGUAAGAAUAAGCACCGGCUAACUACGUGCCAGCCGCCGCGGUAA
rnacentral:rRNA from 1 species